rnacentral:rRNA from 2 species
UCUGAAUCUGCGUACGGCUCCGCAAACCAGUUGUAAACUAUAGCAAGCAAGCCCGGGAUCGGCCUUCACGGGCUGGUUCCGGGUGAUAUGGAUAACCCUGGUAAUUCUGAGGCUAAUACAUGACCGUAAAACCUAGCUGACCGGCUUCGGCUGGGAUGCUGGGGGACGUGUGAUUUGGGCUUGGUAACACCGGGAAGGGGCGCACGUCUAGACCACGCUAUAAAGGUCGGUUUCCCCUUCGGGGGGGGCUGUCCCAGUGGCUCUUGCUGUGUGCUUCUGACCUAUCAACUAGACGGCAGCGUAAGGGACAUGCUAUGGU